AUUGAACGCUGGCGGCAGGCCUAACACAUGCAAGUCGAGCGGCAGCGGAAAGUAGCUUGCUACUUUGCCGGCGAGCGGCGGACGGGUGAGUAAUGUCUGGGAAACUGCCUGAUGGAGGGGGAUAACUACUGGAAACGGUAGCUAAUACCGCAUAACGUCGCAAGACCAAAGAGGGGGACCUUCGGGCCUCUUGCCAUCAGAUGUGCCCAGAUGGGAUUAGCUAGUAGGUGGGGUAACGGCUCACCUAGGCGACGAUCCCUAGCUGGUCUGAGAGGAUGACCAGCCACACUGGAACGGAGACACGGUCCAGACUCCUACGGGAGGCAGCAGUGGGGAAUAUUGCACAAUGGGCGCAAGCCUGAUGCAGCCAUGCCGCGUGUAUGAAGAAGGCCUUCGGGUUGUAAAGUACUUUCAGCGGGGAGGAAGGUGUUGAGGUUAAUAACCUCAGCAAUUGACGUUACCCGCAGAAGAAGCACCGGCUAACUCCGUG
rnacentral:rRNA from 1 species